rnacentral:misc_RNA from 1 species
AAGUCGUAACAAGGUAACGGUAGGUGAACCUGCGGUUGGAUCAUUACUGAUACUUGAUCAUAGAGUUGAUACCGAAAGGAGUCCUCUAUGAUCAAAUAAACCCCUUGUGCACCAUGCUGUUUUUGGGUCAUUCCUAUUUAAUAGGGUGGCCCGACAAUUUAAACAAACCAAACCAAUUUGAUCUUAAAAAAGUAUAUGAAAAUAUAAACAACUUUUGACAACGGAUCUCUUGGCUCUC